rnacentral:rRNA from 1 species
GGGGAAUAUUGCACAAUGGGCGAAAGCCUGAUGCAGCAACGCCGCGUGAACGAUGAAGGCCCUUGGGUCGUAAAGUUCUGUCCUUGGGGAAGAAAAAAAUGACGGUACCCAAGAAGAAAGCCCCGGCUAAUUACGUGCCAGCAGCCGCGGUAAUACGUAAGGGGCGAGCGUUAUCCGGAAUUAUUGGGCGUAAAGAGUAUGUAGGUGGUUCUUUAAGCGUGGGGUUUAAUGCAUUGGCUCAACCAAUGUUUGCCUUGCGAACUGGAGAACUUGAGUAUAGGAGAGGAAAGCGGAAUUCCUAGUGUAGCGGUGAAAUGCGUAGAUAUUAGGAGGAACACCAGAGGCGAAGGCGGCUUUCUGGACUAUUACUGACACUGAGAUACGAAAGCGUGGGGAGCAAAC